rnacentral:rRNA from 1 species
AUGGCGUCCUCCGGGAGCGCUUCUUGGGUUACACUUGCGCUGCUCCUCUUCAUCACUCUGGCUGCGACCGCCAAUGGCGACGAGCUCUCCACAAGUUACUAUGAGAAGACGUGCCCCAACGUGCAGCACGUCGUGCGGUCAGUGAUGGCGAGCAGCGUCGCCGCCCAGCCGAGGAUGGCGCCCGCCGUCCUCCGCCUCUUCUUCCACGACUGCUUCAUCAACGGAUGUGAUGCUUCUGUUCUCCUGGACACAGCUCCCUUCUCCGCCAGCGAGAAGGAUGUAGAGCCGAACGCCUCCCUCACCGGCUACACCGUCAUCGACGACAUCAAGUCGCACUACUGCCCGGCAACCGUCUCCUGCGCUGAUGUUAUCGCCCUGGCGUCCCGCGACGCCAUCGCCCUGCUCGGAGGUCCCACCUGGAGCGUGCCCCUCGGCCGCAAGGACUCACGCUUCGCCGCCAACCCGGAGUCCACCGAGAAGGGCCUCCCGAGCCCACACGACAUCCUCGGCGAGCUCGUCACCAUGUUUUCAAGGCUCAACCUCGACGCGCGUGACAUGACCGCGCUCUCCGAUGCCCACACCGUCGGGAUGGCCGACUGCAUGCACUACAGCGACCGCGUCUACAGCACCGACCGCGAUGAGGAGAUCGACCCAUCCUUCGCGCAGACCAUGCAGCUUAUGUGCCAGGGUCCUUCCGGUAAGGCGCCGUUUGACGUGCAAACUCCGAUGAGGUUUGACAACGCUUACUACCGCAACCUUAUCGCGCGGCGCGGCCUCCUCACCUCCGACCAGACUCUCUACGGCGGUGGAGGCCUGCAGGACAAUCUCGUGGAGAUGUACAGCACCGAUGGUGAAGCAUUUGCGAGGGACUUCGCCAAGGCCAUGGUGAAGAUGGGAAACGUACCUCCACCCAUGGGAAUGCCCGUGGAGGUGAGGCUCAAGUGCUCAACGGCCAACUAUUGA